rnacentral:rRNA from 1 species
GGGGAAUCUUGCGCAAUGGGCGAAAGCCUGACGCAGCGACGCCGCGUGAGUGAUGAAGGCCUUCGGGUUGUAAAGCUCUGUGGGGAGAGACGAAUAAGUGCAGGCUAAUACCCUGCAUGAUGACGGUAUCUCCUUAGCAAGCACCGGCUAACACUGUGCCAGCAGCCGCGGUAAGACAGAGGGUGCAAACGUUGUUCGGAAUUACUGGGCGUAAAGCGAGUGUAGGCGGUCUCGUAAGUCGGAUGUGAAAGCCCAGGGCUCAACCCUGGAAGUGCACUCGAUACUGCGAGGCUAGAGUACUGGAGAGGUUGGUGGAAUUCUCGGUGUAGAGGUGAAAUUCGUAGAUAUCGAGAGGAACACCGGUGGCGAAGGCGGCCAACUGGACAGAUACUGACGCUGAGACUCGAAAGCGUGGGGAGCAAAC